rnacentral:rRNA from 1 species
GUAGUUAGCCGGGGCUUUCUUACAGGGUACCGUCACUUCUUCGUCCCCUGCGACAGAGGUUUACAAUCCGAAAACCUUCUUCCCUCACGCGGCGUUGCUGGGUCAGGCUUGCGCCCAUUGCCCAAUAUUCCCCACUGCUGCCUCUCGUAGGAGUCUGGACCGUGUCUCAGUUCCAGUGUGGCCGAUCAGCCUCUCAGCUCGGCUACCCAUCGUCGGCUUGGUGGGCUGUUAUCUCACCAACUACCUAAUGGGACGCGAACCCCUCUAAAAGCGAUAAAUCUUUGACCUCUUCCCGAUGCCGGGUUGUGGUCUUAUGCGGUAUUAGCAGUUGUUUCCACCUGUUAUUCCCCACUCUUAGGCAGGUUGUUCACGCGUUACUCACCCGUGCGCCACUAGAAUUAUCAAUUCCAUCCGAAAACUUCCUUAAUAAUCCCCGUUCGACUUGCAUGUGUUAGGCACGCCGCCAGCGUUCGUCCUGAGCCAUAAUCAAACUCUGA